AAAAUAUGUCAUUUUCAAAAAUAUAAAAUUUUAAAUUCUAAUUUUAACUAAAAUCAAAUGACAACAACACACGCAGUCUUGGACAAAAAGAUUGUCAAGUUUGGAAGAGCAUCUCCUAUCACAUGAUAAAGAUAGGGUGAAUUUAUAUGGAAAUAUUUUAGGAGGUUAGGCAUGUGGCUUGAGAAUAAAGUGUGAAGGGAGAUGAAAUAGAAAAGAAAGCACGUGGUAAGUAGGCUGGGAAUUUUUUUCUUUUUUUAAAAAAAA
rnacentral:misc_RNA from 1 species